rnacentral:rRNA from 1 species
GAUGAACGCUGGCGGCGUGCCUAAUACAUGCAAGUCGAGCUAACGGACGAGAAGCUUGCUUCUCUGAUGUUAGCGGCGGACGGGUGAGUAACACGUGGAUAACCUACCUAUAAGACUGGGAUAACUUCGGGAAACCGGAGCUAAUACCGGAUAAUAUUUUGAACCGCAUGGUUCAAAAGUGAAAGACGGUCUUGCUGUCACUUAUAGAUGGAUCCGCGCUGCAUUAGCUAGUUGGUAAGGUAACGGCUUACCAAGGCAACGAUGCAUAGCCGACCUGAGAGGGUGAUCGGCCACACUGGAACUGAGACACGGUCCAGACUCCUACGGGAGGCAGCAGUAGGGAAUCUUCCGCAAUGGGCGAAAGCCUGACGGAGCAACGCCGCGUGAGUGAUGAAGGUCUUCGGAUCGUAAAACUCUGUUAUUAGGGAAGAACAUAUGUGUAAGUAACUGUGCACAUCUUGACGGUACCUAAUCAGAAAGCCACGGCUAACUACGUG